rnacentral:rRNA from 1 species
GACGAACGCUGGCGGCGUGCCUAAUACAUGCAAGUCGAGCGGGCCUCCGGAGGUGCUUGCACCUCCGGAAGGCCAGCGGCGGACGGGUGAGUAACACGUGGGCAACCUGCCUUUGAGGCCGGGAUAACACCGGGAAACCGGUGCUAAUACCGGAUACGUCCUCUUUCGCGCCUGCGAGAGGGGAGAAAGACGGUCUUUAAGGCCGUCGCUCAAAGAGGGGCCCGCGGCGCAUUAGCUGGUUGGUGGGGUAAGGGCCUACCAAGGCGACGAUGCGUUGCCGACCUGAGAGGGUGAUCGGCCACACUGGGACUGAGACACGGCCGAGACUCCUGCGGGAGGCAGCAGUAGGGAAUCAUCCGCAAUGGGCGAAAGCCUGACGGUGCAACGCCGCGUGAGUGAGGAAGGUUUUCGGAUCGUAAAGCUCUGUUGUGAGGGAAGAACAGCUUCCGGAGGAAAUGCCGGAGGUUUGCCGGUACCUCACCAGAAAGCCCCGGCUAACUACGUGCCAGCCGCCGCGGUAAAAC